rnacentral:lncRNA from 1 species
GAACAUAGUUACAUAGAUAUAUGGGAAUUCAGCAGUAUAUGCUUCAUGAUAGACAUUUGGUAACCAGGCUUUUCGUCCAUUCAUAAUACUUUCAAGAAAAUUACUCAGGUGAUGGGCACUUAAUUUAAAUUCUCCACCCAUAUGAUUGCAAAAACCUAAAAGAUACCCAUAUAACCUGCUUCUUUUGCAAGUAAUAGUAGAUGGUAGACAAGCAAUAAGGGCGACAAAAUAUGUGCAGAAUUUAUAGUCUUAUACAUCCAUGCAUUAACCUUUAGGCAACUUUUCCCUAUGAGCCAAUCCUUGGCAUAGAAGAUAUCAAGUUCUAGGCCAGUAAACAAGUGAGAUCAGCUGUGGAACAGGGUAUAUCUCUGUCACUUGGUACAACUAAAAUACUGUUCAUGCCUCCAAAUGUUUCUCCCGACGCUCAUUUUACUGAUUCAUAUGGUCAAAAUGUCAUAUCUGAUUCUUUCUUUCCAUUACCAUUCUCCAAAACCUUUGCAGCAUGGUUCGUGGUUGAUUCAGCAUCAGCAGUAGGAUCAGGAUCAAGUAAUGCAAGAACAAGUUCACGCUCAGAUGCCAACGCCUGUGUAAUACAACUAUCAGAGCUCCGUUCAAGCAAAAUAUUAGGAAAACUCAAUCAAGCAGAAGUUGAAGCCAAACCUGAUGCAACCAUCCCAGCAUGUCACCUACAUAUCUCAAAGGAUCAUGAGCAUGGACCUCUAUCGGUCUUGGUAAUCCACCAGGUCCACCACGAGUAAGAGCACUAAUAAAUCUUCUGAACAGUGCAUUGUGCCUCAUAUUUGCUACCUGUGUGAGGAAUAAGCAGAUCUUGUAUGUCAUGCCACCAGAAGAUUAUCUGAAAAGUAAUUUUUCAAAGCUAUUACUGAUAUUGCAACACAGCAUUCACCUCUUCCGCACAGUACUUGAACAGGACAGGCCUUUCUUUGAGGCACCGAACUGCUGUCUUUAAAAGAUCACCAACUUCUGGAUUGUCCACAUCACCCAGUUUCCUACAUUCUAUCUGAACCCACCUAGAUUGGGGUAAAACACUAAUGUGUAAGAUAUGAAUGGAACAUAGUUACAUAGAUAUAUGGGAAUUCAGCAGUAUAUGCUUCAUGAUAGACAUUUGGUAACCAGGCUUUUCGUCCAUUCAUAAUACUUUCAAGAAAAUUACUCAGGUGAUGGGCACUUAAUUUAAAUUCUCCACCCAUAUGAUUGCAAAAACCUAAAAGAUACCCAUAUAACCUGCUUCUUUUGCAAGUAAUAGUAGAUGGUAGACAAGCAAUAAGGGCGACAAAAUAUGUGCAGAAUUUAUAGUCUUAUACAUCCAUGCAUUAACCUUUAGGCAACUUUUCCCUAUGAGCCAAUCCUUGGCAUAGAAGAUAUCAAGUUUUCGGCUAAACAAAUGAGAUCAGCUAUGGAACAGGGUAUAUCUCUGUCAAAUUGGUACAACUAAAAUACUGUUCAUACCUCCAAAUGUUUCUUCCGGCACUCAUUUUACUGAUUCAUAUGGUCAAAAUAUGUGUUAAAAAGAGUAUGGGUCCAGUAAAGAUAGCUAAUUU